rnacentral:tRNA from 1 species
GCCCCAUCGUCUAGCGGUUAGGACACCGGGUUUUCAUCCCGGCAACAGGGGUUCGAAUCCCCUACGG